rnacentral:lncRNA from 1 species
CUUACAUCCACAUACAUACACAUGCAUAACAUGGUAACCAUGCAGAUUUAUGCCAAAAUUUUCAGUUGUUGUUUUGCUAUCUUGAUUCUAUAGCAUGUUCUUCUCAAAGAGGAAACUCUAUUUCUAUAUAUUGUGUGCUGUGUACACCAAUUCCAAUGUCCCAUCUACUAAUGCUUUUAAUCAUGACGGAUUAUUUUGACACUUGCAAAAUCAUUUGCUAACUUAUGGCCAUGGGUACUUUUAUUGACUUCAGUGAAAAGAAGAUGAAUUUGCUAGCCACUGUAGUUCCAAAGAAAGAAAUGGGAGGCUGGAAGCCAGUGAAAAGAGAGAGAGUAACUUUUUCAGACAGAAAAUCUGAGAAGGUGCACAAGGAAAAUGAACCAUACACUGAAAAGUAUCCACAGGUCAGAAGAGACUGUGCAAUUGUCAUUGAAUCUGAUGAGGAUACUGAUGCAGGGUUUUCCUGCUUGGUUGGAAAAAAUGCAGGAAAAGACCUAUUCGGGAAAUUGACGACGGAAGAAGAGGAAGAAGCUCAGUCGAUUUUGCAAAAAGCAAGGAGACGCAAGAGAAGGCAUUCUAACGCUAUGCCUAUAAUAAUCCUCUGAAGAAGGUACAACUUGAUAUUUUCAGAUGCCGAGUCCUAUGAGCUUUGUUUAGCGCAUAUGAGAAAUUUGUUUGUUCAUUACACUUUGGUCACAAUCUUAUGUAUGUUUUAUUGUUUAUUUUUCUGAUCUACACAUAUAAAUUUACCUAAUUUGGGUUUUUGCUUUUUCGAAAGUACUUUACUAAUUUGAAUUUUAAAG